rnacentral:rRNA from 1 species
CCUACGGGAGGCAGCAGUGGGGAAUUUUGGACAAUGGGCGCAAGCCUGAUCCAGCAAUGCCGCGUGCAGGAUGAAGGCCUUCGGGUUGUAAACUGCUUUUGUACGGAACGAAACGGCCCUUUCUAAUACAAGGGGCUAAUGACGGUACCGUAAGAAUAAGCACCGGCUAACUACGUGCCAGCAGCCGCGGUAAUACGUAGGGUGCGAGCGUUAAUCGGAAUUACUGGGCGUAAAGCGUGCGCAGGCGGUUAUAUAAGACAGAUGUGAAAUCCCCGGGCUCAACCUGGGACCUGCAUUUGUGACUGUAUAGCUAGAGUACGGUAGAGGGGGAUGGAAUUCCGCGUGUAGCAGUGAAAUGCGUAGAUAUGCGGAGGAACACCGAUGGCGAAGGCAAUCCCCUGGACCUGUACUGACGCUCAUGCACGAAAGCGUGGGGAGCAAACAGGAUUAGGAUACCCUGGUAGUCCACGCCCUAAACGAUGUCAACUGGUUGUUGGGUCUUCACUGACUCAGUAACGAAGCUAACGCGUGAAGUUGACCGCCUGGGGAGUACGGCCGCGAAGGUUGAAACUCAAAGGAAUUGACCGGNGNGNGAGNGCGAGACGACGACGAGGAGAGG